ACGAAGAAGAAGAAGAGAAAGGUAUGCGUGCGAGAAAUGGAGGUCUACAAACGGUUAAAGGAAUAAGAAGUGACGAAAUUGCAGAAAGAUGAGAUGGAACGGAUGAAACUUCACAAACAGGAAGCCGUUCAACUGCUCAAUAAGGAGAAAACUGAAAACAUGAUAAAGAAAAGACGGGAGGUAGGCUUUUCAAGAUGAACGCCACGGAAUCAACAACUCGACCAUGAACGCCCUUAUUUCAAUAAAAUGAAAGGAAGCUGAGACAGGACAAGAAGAAGAUAACAACACUUGUUCAAUAUGAACAGUAUGAAUGGACACUGACUACCAUUUGUUAUGUUAUGUCCAAGUUGCUGAAGGACCCGCUUGUGCCCAAACAUCCUUGCCAGCGUUUCUGAUUUAUGCAAAGUAAAGAAGAACAGCUCUGCAGGCAAAAAGCAAGAACCAAGUGGAGAUCGUGAAGAUGGCAGUAGAAGAGUGGAAGAACUUGUCUGAAAAACGGAAGGCACCAUACGUGGACUGUUUUCCAUAUUACUUCACUGACAUUGUCAGGUGGGUUAGUUAAUCAAUAUCUUAAAUGUGUGUUACAUCGUUGAAAUUAACAGAUGACGAAGAAGAAGGAGAAAUGGUUGAAGGAAGAAGAAGUGACGAAACUGCAGACUUAAGAGGUGGAACAGCUGAAACUUCACAAACAGGAAGUCCUUCAACUGCUCAAGAAGGAGAAAACUGAAAACAUGAUAAAGAAAAGAUGCGAGGAAGGCUUUUUAAGAUGAACAGCUCUGUAUUCAACGAGACUAUGAACGCCGUUAUUUCAAUAAAUUGGAAGGAGGAAUUAAGUGAAGUAGAGAGGCAAAGUUACAACGAAAAGGCUGUGGAGUUGAUGUUGAGGUACCAGAAGGAACUUGAAUAGGACAAAACAAAGUGUGCUGACUCACAGAAUUGAGAUUAUUAUUUCAAAGGAGGUGAAAGUCAUGAAGCUGUUUGGAAACGAGCAGAAGCAGAAAACUACAGUGGUUCCACUGUUUGAUCAGCAAAGACGUGAGGAAGUAGAACGCCUUGGAAUCAACAACUCGACCAUGAACGUCCUCAUUUCGGUAAAAUGGAAGAAACAAAACCUUGUAAGAACAAGUGAAGAAGAGAGGGAAAGUCACAAUUGAUGGCGAGGUACAAAAAGGAGCUUGAGGAGUACACCGCCAAAUUCACAACAAAUCCAAUGUAGAAUUAUUAGUAAAGACGUUCAAGCUUGAUAUUAAACAUUUUUUAUUUCAAUUUACAUCUUAGGAUCGAGAAAUGUUAUAAAGGAUAGUUCGGUGCACAAAACGUCCACGUUGAGUGGAGUGACGGGGAAAAAUCCCACCACAAAGGUGUAUUGUAGGCAAACUUUACCCUGUAGAAAUAUAUGUAAGAGGUUGUUUCCAAAACUCGAAUCUGUAGCCUAGUCACAACGGCAACACCCUAAUGGUGCGCCAAGGUUCGAUUGAGAAAUGUUAUAAUUUAAAAAAAAAAAUAUAA